AAUGUUUAAAGAUCCCAGCGUUAUGUCACACAUAGCAAAUGUUAAGCUGUAUUCGGACAAAAUCGUGAGGUCAGCACAAAAUAGGGAAAAGCAAAAUGUGAGACACUUAACCAUCUUCCUGUUAAGAAGCGUAGACGGAGACAAGCGCGGGCGAGCGGAGAGAUGGCGUGUGACUGAACACAGGACGAGAAUCGAAUCGGGACAGAGCAGGUACGCUGUAUAUCAGGGAUAUAGGCAAAAGCGUUGUGAGAGACGAGCGUGAAGUCGAGCACCAGGGAAAACACUUAUAAUGAAAUCGGCUUGGUAAACAAACAGAGACGAGGCUGCUGAGCGGUUACUUCGCAAGCAGCUCAUGCUAGGGAGGCCCUUAUAUAACCUUAGGUGUUUACAGGUGUUCGUAAUUAGAACUCCGGCGAACUCGAGCGCGGGUAUGACUAGGAAGUGUUGUCCUCCUCCGCCACGUCCCUGGGCGGCACUACACUUUGUGAGCUGCCGCGCCGAUUUCGCCGUGUCGUAACACUUCCACUAUUUGCUCUCUAACUUUUAUCAGUUUUUUAAGACGAAACACUUCUUGGUCGGUGAAGGUUGGUUGGCCGGUGCGUUCUGUGUUGUUCAUAAACAGUCUAACAGAGUUAAGGAACAAUUUUAAAUCUGAAAAACUCAUCAACUUUAACUGAUCUCAUGCCUUUUGUCCUGUUUAAAAACGACUGAAUUCCAGUGAAGGAGUAAGCACCCUCCACCUCCAUCUGGGUCUAAGGAACCUGAGGUGGAGAAAUGUUCCAUUUGUUUAAGCAGCAUCACUGGCAUGCGUGGAGAAUGUGAGGCCAAAGAGCCUGCUGUCAGACCUGAGGAGUGCCCAGUGUCCAGGGGAGUGUGUAACAUAAGACAUAUACACACACAUUGUCCUUCUCUUCACUGCAUUUCUAUACCUC